AUUGAACGCUGGCGGCAGGCUUAACACAUGCAAGUCGAGCGCGCGGCGGACGGGUGUGUAAUGUCUGGGACACUGCCUGAUGGAGGGGGAUCAAUUCUGGACACGGUAGCUAAUACCGCAUACCCUCAGAUGUGCCCAGAUGGGAUUAGCUAGUAGGUGGGGUAAUGGCUCACCUAGGCGACGAUCCCUAGCUGGUCUGAGAGGAUGACCAGCCACACUGGAACUGAGACACGGUCCAGACUCCUACGGGAGGCAGCAGUGGGGAAUAUUGCACAAUGGGCGCAAGCCUGAUGCAGCCAUGCCGCGUGUAUGAAGAAGGCCUUCGGGUUGUAAAGCACUUUCAGCGAGGAGGCGUUACUCGCAGAAGAAGCACCGGCUAACUCCGUGCCAGCCGCCGCGGUAAUAC
rnacentral:rRNA from 1 species